UACGUAGGGAGCGAGCGUUGUCCGGAAUCAUUGGGCGUAAAGAGCAUGUAGGUGGAUCAAUUAGUCUGCUGUGAAAGUCAAAGGCUCAACCUUUGAAAGCCGGUGGAUACUGUUGAUCUAGAGUACGGAAGAGGCGAGUGGAAUUCCUGGCGUAGCGGUGGAAUGCGCAGAUAUCAGGAGGAACACCAAUAGCGAAGGCAGCUCGCUGGGACGUUACUGACACUGAGAUGCGAAAGCGUGGGGAGCAAACAGG
rnacentral:rRNA from 1 species